GAUGAACGCUGGCGGCGUGCUUAACACAUGCAAGUCGAACGGUAAAUAUUUCAUUGAGACUUCGGUGGAUUUGAUUUAUUUCUAGUGGCGGACGGGUGAGUAACGCGUGGGUAACCUGCCUUAUACAGGGGGAUAACAGUCAGAAAUGGCUGCUAAUACCGCAUAAGCGCACAGAGCUGCAUGGCUCAGUGUGAAAAACUCCGGUGGUAUAAGAUGGACCCGCGUUGGAUUAGCUAGUUGGUGGGGUAACGGCCCACCAAGGCGACGAUCCAUAGCCGGCCUGAGAGGGUGAACGGCCACAUUGGGACUGAGACACGGCCCAGACUCCUACGGGAGGCAGCAGUGGGGAAUAUUGCACAAUGGGGGAAACCCUGAUGCAGCGACGCCGCGUGAAGGAAGAAGUAUCUCGGUAUGUAAACUUCUAUCAGCAGGGAAGAUAGUGACGGUACCUGACUAAGAAGCCCCGGCUAACUACGU
rnacentral:rRNA from 1 species